CAGCCGCCACGGGAAUACGAAGGGUGCAAGCGUUACUCGGAAUUACUGGGCGUAAAGCGUGCGUAGGUGGUGGUUUAAGUCCGUUGUGAAAGCCCUGGGCUCAACCUGGGAAUUGCAGUGGAUACUGGGUCACUAGAGUGUGGUAGAGGAUAGUGGAAUUUCCGGUGUAGCAGUGAAAUGCGUAGAGAUCGGAAGGAACAUCUGUGGCGAAGGCGACUAUCUGGGCCAACACUGACACUGAGGCACGAAAGCGUGGGGAGCAAACAGGAUUAGAUACCCCGGUAGUCCCUGUCUCUUAUAA
rnacentral:rRNA from 1 species